UACGAAGGGUGCUAGCGUUGCUCGGAAUCACUGGGCGUAAAGGGUGCGUAGGCGGUUCUUUAAGUCAGGGGUGAAAUCCUGGAGCUCAACUCCAGAACUGCCUUUGAUACUGAGGAUCUUGAGUUCGGGAGAGGUGAGUGGAACUGCGAGUGUAGAGGUGAAAUUCGUAGAUAUUCGGAAGAACACCAGUGGCGAAGGCGACUUACUGGACACAUAUUGACGCUGAGGUGCGAAAGCGUGGGGAGCAAACAGG
rnacentral:rRNA from 1 species